UACACUCCUACGGGAGGCAACAGUGGGGAAUAUUGGACAAUGGGCGCAAGCCUGAUCCAGCCAUGCCGCGUGAGUGAUGAAGGCCCUAGGGUUGUAAAGCUCUUUCACCGGUGAAGAUAAUGACGGUAACCGGAGAAGAAGCCCCGGCUAACUUCGUGCCAGCAGCCGCGGUAAUACGAAGGGGGCUAGCGUUGUUCGGAUUUACUGGGCGUAAAGCGCACGUAGGCGGACUAUUAAGUCAGGGGUGAAAUCCCGGGGCUCAACCCCGGAACUGCCUUUGAUACUGGUAGUCUUGAGUUCGAGAGAGGUGAGUGGAAUUCCGAGUGUAGAGGUGAAAUUCGUAGAUAUUCGGAGGAACACCAGUGGCGAAGGCGGCUCACUGGCUCGAUACUGACGCUGAGGUGCGAAAGCGUGGGGAGCAAACAGGAUUAGAUACCCGGGUAGUCCCAUG
rnacentral:rRNA from 1 species